UUUUUUUUUUUUCUUUUUUUUUUUUUUUUUGCCUCAACUCUUUUUAAUGACCCCUUCAGUCCUGGGCCAUUAACUGCAACUGAGGCUGUACUUUUUACCAAUGGCCUUCCAUGGUCUCUCACAGUGACAAGCCUCAGCUGUUCGUCAUGAUGUCUUCAUGCCUUCAAAACCAAUAUCACCUUGGCGACUCUUUCACCUUACCAUGUACAGCUGUAGGACAAGGUACUAUCUUGGCUAUCUCUGGAACAGAGUAUCUUUUUGCUCUUACCAAACACUUCCCAGAAGCUUUCACCUCAGUGAUACCAGUCUCUUCUUAAUCACCACUAAGUUCUUAGCUCCAGCUAACCAGCAUCAAUUGUCUCAGUAGUUCUUUCUGUUCUUGACUCUAUAGACUGAGCCACGUGGCCAAAGCUGUUGAGUUUUGCUGCUUAUGUGGGCUGGACAUGGCCCCUUUUUCUAUUACAUUAUCACCAGCUUUCUGUUUUCCAACUCUGUCCCUGAGUAAGUUUGGAUUUCCUACAAUUUACAGAGUAGAUUGACCUUGAACUCAGAGAUCUGCAUGGAUCUGUCUCCUGUAAUGCUGGCAUUAAAUGUGUGUACCACUAUGCUUGGAUUUAAGCAUUUCUUUCCCUAGAACCUGCUUUGUUCCAGAUUGGCCUUGAACCCAGAGAACUGUUUGGCUUGGUUUUCUGGGAUUAACGGUGUGUCCCACCAUGCCUGGAUGUAAAUUUAGCUGGAUGGAAUCUUACUCCAAUAUCUCUUAAUCUCUUAACAGUCUCCUAGAAUGUAGGAUUCAGUUCCAAUUUACUUCCUGGUGCAGCUUUAAUACUUGUAUCAUAUAUUUUAUAUUUUUCCUUUCUAAGUUUGCUAUGCUUGUUUAAAAUGCUCUUUGUGGUACUUAACCAGAGAACAAUGACUCUGCUGAGAUGUUUUUUGAGACUUUGUUUGUGAAACCAUUUAAUAUAAAUCUAAGGGUCAGGAGAUACCACACAUGAGAAGGUGAGGAAUAGAGAGCAUAGCCACCAUGUAGGAGACAGAGAAUAGUGGCCCUGAAAGGACUGUAUGACUGUGUAAAGGACAGCAAAGUUGGAAUAUAGAGUUUUGGUAAGCAAUAACUUAGGAAGAUCAAAGGGAGAUGGAUUGGCCAUAUAGGGGCUGGCCCUGCCAUUGAGUUGUUUUAGGCAUAUAAAAUAUAACUGCUCUGUGUUUGUGUGUGUGUGUGUGUGUUUCAUUCAGGAAUGUAGAACACUGGGGCUGGUAGAUAGUAACUCAGAGCAGCUGCUGCCACUGUGGUCAAUUUGAGUAGUUUAAUUGGGAACGGCUAUAGUCCUUAACCUCUCCAACAUGUUUAAAAUUAGAAAAAAAUAAGACUGCAACUCAUCCUGGACCUGACAUACUUCUUACUGGGGUAAUGAGAAAUCAUCAACUCAUCACAACUACAAAAACAAAGAUCAAAUGAGUAUGUUAUUGUUACUAAUUAAGAGAUUGUUUUUUAUUUUUCGGUAUCCUGAUACUAAGGAAAUAGUUGCAGUUUUAGCUUCAUGCUCUCAAUGGUCAAACAUCAAUGUCCCUUGGAAUCUUAAAAAUGUAAGUUGAAAAAUUAUAAGAAUGUAAACAUAAGGCUUGGAAAUAAGGGGCAAGUCUUUAAUCUGACCACCUCUGGAGCAGAAGCGGGAGGAUCAUAGAGUUCAAAGUCAACCUGGUCUGUGUAGUAAUGAAUUCCAGGACAGCCUGGGCUACAUGGAGGAACCCUGUCUCAAUAAUAAAAAACAAAAACGAGGAGGAGGAGGAGGAAGAGAAGGCAAUGAUUGAGUUUUUUAAUAAAUAAAGUUUUAUCUAUGAAGUUUAGGAUGGCUGUAUGUUUCCAGAAUGGAAAGAGAAAUUAGAAAUUUUAUGAAAGUUGCAAGUGUCCAAGUAAGUUAUUAAAGAUAUGUAAAUGAUAAACCUUAGAGAUGAUAGACAGGAACCGGGCAUGGUGGCCCACGCCUUUAAUCCCAGCACUUGGAAGGCAGAGGCAGGUGGAUUUGUGAGUUCAAGGCAAGCCUGGUAUAAAGAGUUCCAGGACAGCCAGGGCUAUAUAAAGAAACCCUGUCUCAAAAAACCAGGAAAAAAAAAAAGAUGAUAGACAGGAUAUUUUAAUUUGUAAGCCAAGUACCAAUGAAUUUAUGUCAAGCCUCUACUUAAAUCAACAGAGUUCUCGUUAGCUUUGACCAAUCCUGGUAACAGUUAUAAACACUUGCUUCUAAAGCUUUAUGUGAGCUGUUUCAAUUAUCACAGAUACAAAACAAAGAUACAUGCAAACAAGAUAAUUAUUGUGUUUUAAACUUUGUUAUAUUAAACGACUCUAAAAACAAAACCUGACCCGUCCAGCAGGUCCAGUUAUUCGAGGGUCUGGAGGGGACCUUCUCCUAAUAACCAAAUGGGGGGGUAGAGAGAGAUGAGGAACCGUUCUGAUUUGCAUUGAAGCCCCAAAUGUAUUGAGAAAGGCCCAAGACUUAAAUGCACAAGCAAAAGGGGAAGUACAGACACUUAUCAGUGGGAGGGGUGAGGCAAUACAAGCAAAAGGAGAAGUACUUAUCAGUGGGAAGGGGGGCAAUAGAAAUUCUUUAUUUUGGCAGCUACACGGGGAAGCAGGAACUUGGUGGUAUCAGGGUGUGGUCAGGACUUCGGAGAGGACUUAGGACUGGAACAUCCCGUGGUUGUUCUCAGAAUCAAUGUGUCGGUGGCAAGCUUUUGACCCCCUUUUCUUCUCGGGGGGAGAGGCCCAAUUUAGAGAUCAAGAGUUGUCUUAAUAGCUCCCAACAAAAACCAACCCAACAUUCAUUUUAAAAUGUCUGAGCUUCAUCUGCAUGUUGCCCAGAGUUUAAGUGACAACACUGGGAAAGCUGCUAUGGUAUUUCUUUUUUGUUUGUUUGUUUUGGGUGUUUGUUUGUUUGGUUUGGUUUGGUUUUUGGUUUUUCGAGACAGGGUUUCUCUGUGUACCCCUGGCUGUCCUGGCACUCACUUUGUAGACCAGGCUGGCCUCGAACUCAGAAAUCUGCCAGUCUCUGCCUCCUGAGUGCUGGGAUUAAAGGUAUGCACCACCAUGUCCGGCUUGCUAUUGUAUUUCUAACAAACCUUGAAAACUACAGCAAAGAGGACAUAAUGUUCAGAGAAGACAUGUAGUGUUUUGUCUUCCUAGGUCAGUCAUGAUGAAGGACAAUGAAACCCUUCUGGUAAAUGGUCGCUUUUAGAGAGGCCAUGGAGAAUAAACUCUAAAUAUCCUAUACUUUACAGGAAUUCAACUGUGGAUCUGGCGCUAUGUAUGGGUGAUACAAUACAUAGUUUAUAAUUGUGUGGGGUUUGUGCUGGGUACCUUAUUGUCAACUUGACACAUAGUCACUUCAGACUUUGUAUAGGAGCAGACAGGAAUUCACUGUCUCCUGGCUGAAUGAAGUUCUUGUUUUCCUCUGGUCUCAGGUCUAUAAUUCACUGCUUCUGUUCUUGUACAUGAGUGUGUACAGAAUAAGCAAAAUGCUGACACCACGUUUAUCUCCUUGAAACAUCUGUGUCAUUAGGAAGCUGGGGUUUUCUUCUACAGGAGUAGCAAUAUUCUAUCCAUACUUUUCCCCUUUGUAGAGAGCAGCAUUAUAGAUUUAGAAAUGAACAACAUUGUUGUGUCUACAUAGUUGGAUCAUAGUGUUGCUCUGAGAACUUGCCAAGCUUAUUAAGACUAUUUCCAGUAUGCUUUUGAGUAGAUGUUGCAGCUAUCUCGAUUUUUAUUGUUUUUGAAAUAAACUAAAAUACAAGAUUCAAGACAAUUGAUGGAUUGGCAUAAUGUAUAACAAAAUUGUAAUCAUAUUGGGACUACUGUCAAUUAAAUAACAGGAAAUGCUUGAUAAUGUGUUUUAACUAUGUGUUUGUAAAUGGAAGCAACAGUAAAUAUCCUGAAUUAACUUUGACAUUACCUUUGAGUGUGUUGUCUUACAGAUGUGCUGGUGAAGAUUUCUUGGAGACCCAGGGUUUCCAUCUCUCAUCAUGGGGCUCCAUGUCUCAUCAUGGGGUUUGUGAGAGAAUCACCUGUCUUUAGCUUGUAUAAUGAUUAUCCUCUUAGCAAUUAAUUAUGUACAAUUGCUACCUCUUCAGAAAAGGAUUCAUUGUUAAAUUACCAUUUUUGAUGUUUUCAUAUUUAAAUUUCUGAUUUGUUUGAAAUAUCCUGACAAGAGAGAGAAACUAUCUUCUUUUUUCUCCUUCUUUAUUUUGUACUCUAAAUCCAGCAAAUAAACCUGCAACUGACAUGU
rnacentral:lncRNA from 1 species